rnacentral:rRNA from 1 species
UACAGAGGGGGCAAGCGUUAUUCGGAAUUAUUGGGCGUAAAGGGCGCGUAGGCGGUUCUUCAAGUCUCUCGUGAAAUCCCUCGGCUUAACUGAGGACGUGCGGGAGAUACUGAAGGGCUUGAGUCCGGAAGAGGGUGGUGGAAUUCCCAGUGUAGCGGUGAAAUGCGCAGAUAUCAGGAGGAACACCAGUGGCGAAGGCGGCACUCUGGGCCGGAACUGACGCUGAGGAGCGAAAGCGUGGGGAGCGAACAGG